UGCCGGUGUGAGUAGCGAAAGACGGGUGAGAAUCCCGUCCACCGAUUGACUAAGGUUUCCAGAGGAAGGCUCGUCCGCUCUGGGUUAGUCGGGUCCUAAGCUGAGGCCGACAGGCGUAGGCGAUGGAUAACAGGUUGAUAUUCCUGUACCACCUAUAAUCGUUUUAAUCGAUGGGGGGACGCAGUAGGAUAGGCGAAGCGUGCGAUUGGAUUGCACGUCUAAGCAGUAAGGCUGAGUAUUAGGCAAAUCCGGUACUCAUUAAGGCUGAGCUGUGAUGGGGAGAAGACAUUGUGUCUUCGAGUCGUUGAUUUCACACUGCCGAGAAAAGCCUCUAGAUAGAAAAUAGGUGCCCGUACCGCAAACCGACACAGGUAGUCAAGAUGAGAAUUCUAAGGUGAGCGAGCGAACUCUCGUUAAGGAACUCGGCAAAAUGACCCCGUAACUUCGGGAGAAGGGGUGCUCUUUAGGGUUAACGCCCAGAAGAGCCGCAGUGAAUAGGCCCAAGCGACUGUUUAUCAAAAACACAGGUCUCUGCUAAACCGUAAGGUGA
rnacentral:rRNA from 1 species